rnacentral:rRNA from 1 species
AUUGAACGCUGGCGGCAGGCUUAACACAUGCAAGUCGAGCGAGCGGCGGACGGGUGAGUAAUGUCUGGGAAACUGCCUGAUGGAGGGGGAUAACUACUGGAAACGGUAGCUAAUACCGCAUACCAUCAGAUGUUCCCAGAUGGGAUUAGCUAGUAGGUGGGGUAAUGGCUCACCUAGGCGACGCUCCCUAGCUGGUCUGAGAGGAUGACCAGCCACACUGGGAAGGAGACACGGCCCAGACUACUACGGGAGGCAGCAGUGGGGAAUAUUGCGCAAUGGGGGCAACCCGGAUGCAGCCAUGCCGCGUGAAUGAAGAAGGCCUUCGGGUUGUAAAGUUCUUUCGGUAGCGAGGCGUUAACGACAGAAGAAGCACCGGCUAACUCCGUGCCAGCAGCCGCGGUAAUUC